UACGAAGGGGGCUAGCGUUGUUCGGAAUUACUGGGCGUAAAGGGCGCGUAGGCGGCGUGUCAAGUCAGGCGUGAAAGCCCCGGGCUCAACCUGGGAACCGCGCUUGAGACUGGCAUGCUCGAGUUCGGGAGAGGAUGGUGGAAUUCCCAGUGUAGAGGUGAAAUUCGUAGAUAUUGGGAAGAACACCGAUGGCGAAGGCAGCCAUCUGGACCGACACUGACGCUGAGGCGCGAAAGCGUGGGGAGCAAGCAGG
rnacentral:rRNA from 1 species